CCUACGGGAGGCAGCAGUAAGGAAUAUUGGUCAAUGGACGAAAGUCUGAACCAGCCAUGCCGCGUGAAGGAUUAAGGCCCUCUGGGUUGUAAACUUCUUUUAUCUGGGACGAAAAAAGGGUAUUCUUACUCACUUGACGGUACCAGAGGAAUAAGCACCGGCUAACUCCGUGCCAGCAGCCGCGGUAAUACGGAGGGUGCAAGCGUUAUCCGGAUUUACUGGGUUUAAAGGGUGCGUAGGUGGGCUUGUAAGUCAGUGGUGAAAUCUCCGGGCUUAACCCGGAAACUGCCAUUGAUACUAUAGGUCUUGAAUUAUCUGGAGGUAAGCGGAAUAUGUCAUGUAGCGGUGAAAUGCUUAGAUAUGACAUAGAACACCAAUUGCGAAGGCAGCUUACUACGGAUAUAUUGACACUGAGGCACGAAAGCGUGGGGAUCAAACAGGAUUAGAUACCCUGGUAGUCCACGCCCUAAACGAUGGAUACUCGACAUCAGCGAUACACUGUUGGUGUCUGAGNGAAGANAUAGUAUCCACCGNGGAGACGAGCGCGAAGAGUUAGUUAAACGUUAAAGUAAAGUUAGUUACGGCGUUGAGNGCGACGACGACGACGAGGAGGAGGAG
rnacentral:rRNA from 1 species